UCCGGAUUUAUUGGGCGUAAAGCGAGCGCNGGCGGUUAGAUAAGUCUGAAGUUAAAGGCUGUGGCUUAACCAUAGUACGCUUUGGAAACUGUUUAACUUGAGUGCAGAAGGGGAGAGUGGAAUUCCAUGUGUAGCGGUGAAAUGCGUAGAUAUAUGGAGGAACACCGGUGGCGAAAGCGGCUCUCUGGUCUGUAACUGACGCUGAGGCUCGAAAGCGUGGGGAGCGAACAGGAUUAGAUACCCUGGUAGUNCACGCCGUAAACGAUGAGUGCUAGGUGUUAGGCCCUUUCCGGGGCUCAGUGCCGCAGCUAACGCAUUAAGCACUCCGCCUGGGGAGUACGACCGCAAGGUUGAAACUCAAAGGAAUUGACGGGGGCCCGCACAAGCGGUGGAGCAUGUGGUUUAAUUCGAAGCAACGCGAAGAACCUUACCAGGUCUUGACAUCCCGAUGCCCGCUCUAGAGAUAGAGUUUUACUUCGGUACAUCGGUGACGGGUGGUGCAUGGUUGUCGUCAGCUCGUGUCGUGAGAUGUUGGGUUAAGUCCCGCAACGAGCGCAACCCUUAUUGUUAGUUGCCAUCAUUCAGUUGGGCACUCUAGCGAGACUGCCGGUAAUAAACCGGAGGAAGGUGGGGAUGACGUCAAAUCAUCAUGCCCCUUAUGACCUGGGCUACACACGUGCUACAAUGGCUGGUACAACGAGUCGCAAGUCGGUGACGGCAAGCUAAUCUCUUAAAGCCAGUCUCAGUUCGGAUUGUAGGCUGCAACUCGCCUACAUGAAGUCGGAAUCGCUAGUAAUCGCGGAUCAGCACGCCGCGGUGAAUACGUUCCCGGGCCUUGUACACACCGCCCGUCACACCACGAGAGUUUGUAACACCCGAAGUC
rnacentral:rRNA from 1 species